GCAGCUGUCGUCUAAUGGCAGGACAUCACGUUGCCAACGUGACAAUGCCGGUUCGAUUCCGGCCAGUUGCA
rnacentral:tRNA from 1 species